GCGCGCGCAGGCGGCCCCUUAAGUUGGAUGUGAAAUCCUAUGGCUCAACCAUAGAACUGCAUCCAAAACUGAGGGGCUAGAGUCUGGGAGGGGAAGAUGGAAUUAGUGGUGUAGGGGUAAAAUCCGUAGAGAUCACUAGGAAUACCAAAAGCGAAGGCGAUCUUCUGGAACAGUACUGACGCUGAGGCGCGAAAGCGUGGGGAGCAAACAGGAUUAGAUACCCUGGUAGUCCACGCCCUAAACUAUGAAUGUUAGUCGUCGGGAGGCUCGUCCUCUCGGUGAUGCAGCUAACGCAUUAAACAUUCCGCCUGGGGAGUACGGUCGCAAGAUUAAAACUCAAAGGAAUAGACGGGGACCCGCACAAGUGGUGGAGCAUGUGGUUUAAUUCGAAGAUACGCGAAGAACCUUACCUGGCCUUGACAUUGAUAGAAUCUGCUAGAGAUAGCGGAGUGCCCUUCGGGGAGCUUGAAAACAGGUGCUGCACGGCUGUCGUCAGCUCGUGCCGUGAGAUGUUGGGUUAAGUCCCGCAACGAGCGCAACCCUCGUCACUAGUUACUAACGGUUCGGCCGAGGACUCUAGUGAGACUGCCUUCGUAAGGAGGAGGAAGGUGAGGACGACGUCAAGUCAUCAUGGCCCUUACGGCCAGGGCGACACACGUGCUACAAUGGGAUGUACAAUGAGACGCAAUACCGCGAGGUGGAGCAAAUCUAUAAAGCAUCUCUCAGUUCGGAUUGUAGUCUGCAACUCG
rnacentral:rRNA from 1 species